GCAAUAGCUCCGGCAGGCGGGAGGGACGCGUCCAGUGCUUUCGCGAGGUCCUGCUGCCUGCCGCUGGAACCUGGUCGAGCGAGGCAGCGGCGACGCCGACGGUCUGAAGUUCCCGGUCAGCGGGUUGCGGAGGAUCGUGCGGGUAGCAAAGGGAGGGCGAGUGCUCCUGCGGCCCCAGACGGCAACCAGUACAAUGGUGACCACGUUUUGAAGAUGGCAGACUGUCUAGACAGAAGAUGCCUAAAACCCCAAGUCACCACUCAGAAGAGGGCAGCCCAGCUAUUAACACACAUGUUUCGGACGACUACAGGAGCAAGAAGUACAUUUAUUAUCCUGAAUUUCACGGAGAUGUUUUUGUCCUGUCCCAGAAGCUAACUUUACCUUAACUAAUACUUGACUAAGCACCAGCCCCCUUAAAAAACAUCGCAGCGGUUUUUUUUCUGCAACUUGGGGUCAUGGUGAGAGCUGGGCUUAUCACCAAUGGCGAUAAGAGGAUUACCUUCCAAGACAAGUGGGAUCCAGUUCCUAUAAUGGACAGCAGAGCCAUAGCAGUAAUCAGAACGGUUGGACUUGUGUGGAUCUGUAGUGGUGGCAAAUUAAACGUGGUUACCCUAGGGCCAAAAUAGAUGGACAGCCUACUAAGGUCCUACUUGAUUUAUGUAAUCAAAACAAAACAAAGCAAAAAACAGUCUAGCAAAUGGAGGCUUGAUCUAGUCCCCCAAAUAUAGAGUCCCAGCCCCUCUCCCAGUUCAUGGACUAGAGCCCCUUGGAUGAAGGGGAGGAUCUGCUUGUAGAAGGACCUUGCUACACUUUUCACAAGAGUGUGUGGGGAACUCUCCCACCAUGCUUUUCCCACAGGAGCCUGCAGCCAACGUAAUUGUGCUUUGAGGACCCGGAAGUACCCAGAACUUUUGAAAUAGACUGCCUACUGGUUCUGAGUUAACCUUCCUUGACCUAGACUGUCAUCAUGGUCCACUGGUCAGAGCGGGAUAAAGUCUUACAUAAAAUGUCAGCCUGAGUUCUUCUCCUAUUGGGCCCAGCAGAUCCAAAAUCCCAUCCUGUGAUGUGCCCAGUGCCUGGACACAUAAUUGGAAUACAUAUGGAAUAGAUGGCAUAAAGGGUAUGAGGGCUACAGAUGAAGAAAAAUGUGUGAGUGGUGGAAAGACCAGCUUGAGGACCUCUUGUGGAUAUCAACAAGAAAGAAUAAAGAGAUAGAAAAUAUUUUUUUUAGGAGUUCCUGUCAUGGCUUAGCGGCUAACGAACCCGACUAGGAACCAUGAGAUUGUGGGUUCGAUCCCUGGCCUUGAUUAGUGGGUUAAAGUCCAGCAUUGCUGUGAGCUGUGGUGUAGGUUGCAGAUGCGGCUCGGAUCCCACAUUGCUGUGCCUGUGGCCUAGGCUGGCAGCUACAACUCCAAUUGGAAACCCUAUGCUGGGAACCUCCAUAUGCUGCGGGUGCAGCCCUAAAAAG
rnacentral:lncRNA from 1 species